GAUGAAGAACGCAGCGAAAUGCGAUAAGUAAUGUGAAUUGCAGAAUUCAGUGAAUCAUCGAAUCUUUGAACGCACAUUGCGCCCUCUGGUAUUCCGGGGGGCAUGCCCGUUCGAGCGUCAUUAUAACCACUCAAGCUCUCGCUUGGUAUUGGGGUUCGCGGUUCCGCGGCCCCUAAAAUCAGUGGCGGUGCCUGUCGGCUCUACGCGUAGUAAUACUCCUCGCGAUUGAGUCCGGUAGGUCUACUUGCCAGCAACCCCCAAUUUUUACAGGUUGACCUCGGAUCAGGUAGGGAUACCCGCUGAACUUAAGCAUAUCAAUAAGCGGAGGA
rnacentral:misc_RNA from 1 species